GACGAACGCGGCGGCGUGCCUAAUACAUGCAAGUAGAACGCUGAAGGAGGAGCUUGCUUCUCUGGAUGAGUUGCGAACGGGUGAGUAACGCGUAGGUAACCUGCCUGGUAGCGGGGGAUAACUAUUGGAAACGAUAGCUAAUACCGCAUAACAGUAGAUGUUGCAUGACAUUUGCUUAAAAGGUGCAAUUGCAUCACUACCAGAUGGACCUGCGUUGUAUUAGCUAGUUGGUGGGGUAACGGCUCACCAAGGCGACGAUACAUAGCCGACCUGAGAGGGUGAUCGGCCACACUGGGACUGAGACACGGCCCAGACUCCUACGGGAGGCAGCAGUAGGGAAUCUUCGGCAAUGGACGGAAGUCUGACCGAGCAACGCCGCGUGAGUGAAGAAGGUUUUCGGAUCGUAAAGCUCUGUUGUAAGAGAAGAACGAGUGUGAGAGUGGAAAGUUCACACUGUGACGGUAUCUACCAGAAAGG
rnacentral:rRNA from 1 species